GUGCGGCCUGGGUCUAGUUGGCGGCGGGGUCGGGUCCGCGCGAGCCGCGAUGGAGCUGCACAUCCUAGAACACCGGGUGCGGGUGCUGAGCGUCGCCCGUCCCGGUCUCUGGCUCUACACCCACCCGCUCAUCAAGCUGCUCUUCCUGCCCCGCCGCAGCCGGUGCGCGCCCGGGUUCGGGAGCGCAGAUAGGGGCUGGGGGCUCUGCUCUCGCUCCGGGCCAGGGUCGGAGGAUUAGGAUCGCCGUAAGAGCUGCCCCCAUCUGAGUUCCUGCAAGUAGCUGAGGCCACAUGGCUGGUGCUGAACGUGUCGUCUCACAGCGGUGCGGCAGUGCAGGCUGCUGGGGUCACCAAGAUCGCCCGUUCGGUCAUC
rnacentral:lncRNA from 1 species